CCCGGCGUCAGACCUUCUGGGAGCGCGACAGCUGGUGUUGGGCUGGAGAAGCGGUGCGGCCCCGGGGCGACAGUGCGAGUUCUUUGGAGCAGUGGCACCUCGUGUCCGGGGUGGGGCGUGAGCUGGGGCUGCCUCGCCGCCGUUCAUCUCGGGACUUGCGCCCGGUUUGUGGAUAACCUUGGGGAAGUUAUUUACCUCCUUGGCGCUCUGAUCCUUCUUUAGACCGAUUCCCAGGGGCACGAGCAGGGAGAACGAAAGCAGCAGAGCAGAAAUAGUGACGUGCCAGGGUUGUCUCCGGUCCAGCUACCGUUUCUCCCCCAUUCCCAUCUUUCCUUCAGGGUUGAGCGUUACCUUUGGACUAGACUUACUUCCUUGAUAAUGAACCUGAUCUAUUCCACCGAUUCCACCCCUGAUUGCCACCGCUAUUCUCCCAGAUUCUUAAAACCAGAAUGGGAGAUUAGGAAGAAACGUGGCCAAAUCACGCAGUUAACAAUGUUUUCAAUCUGUAAAGUGGGAAGGAUCAAUGAUACAGCGAGACCUGACUUAUGAAGGGAUUACUGGAGGCUUUCAGGAGCUAAGGCCUCUGAAUGGGAACUCCCAAGUCAGCAAAUAAAUGCAGCGUUCUAGGGCAGCCCUUUGUAGGGGAGGAAACCAAGCACUGAGCACUGCGAGGUUCCUACGUGGCCUGGAGGCAGGUGUCAGUGACUGCCUUGACUCUGCUGGGGCUUUCACUGAUUCCACUCCGGUCCUCUGCACUUAGUGUUUUGAGGAACUCCUCUUCUGCGCAUUGCUUUCUCUCUCUCUUUUUCCCAGGCACCCCCUGAAGAGCUACCAUGUCUGGGAACGACUCAUGUUCCACAGAAACCAGCAACAACAGCUGUGACAGCAAACCUACAAAUCUUCGAACGUCAGAGAAGAAAUGUUCAUGGGCCUCCUACAUGACCAACUCCCCAACUCUCAUUGUUAUGAUUGGCUUGCCAGCCCGGGGCAAAACCUAUGUGUCCAAGAAACUAACUCGCUACCUCAACUGGAUCGGGGUGCCCACCAAAGUGUUCAACCUUGGGGUAUACCGGCGAGAGGCUGUCAAGUCCUAUAAGUCCUAUGACUUCUUUCGGCAUGACAAUGAGGAGGCCAUGAAGAUUCGCAGACAGUGUGCGCUGGUGGCUCUGGAAGACGUUAAGGCCUAUCUCACCGAGGAGAGCGGGCAGAUCGCGGUGUUUGAUGCCACCAAUACCACCCGGGAGAGGAGGGAUAUGAUUCUGGGCUUCGCCACACAGAAUUCCUUCAAGGUAUUCUUUGUGGAAUCUGUCUGUGAUGAUCCUGAUGUUAUUGCUGCCAAUAUCCUGGAGGUCAAGGUGUCGAGCCCCGACUACCCCGAAAGGAACAGGGAGAAUGUGAUGGAGGACUUCCUGAAAAGAAUCGAGUGCUACAAAGUCACCUACCGGCCCCUUGACCCCGACAACUAUGACAAGGACCUCUCUUUCAUCAAAGUCAUAAAUGUGGGUCAGCGAUUUUUAGUUAACAGAGUCCAGGACUACAUCCAGAGCAAGAUAGUCUACUACCUCAUGAAUAUCCACGUCCAUCCUCGCACCAUUUACCUUUGCCGGCACGGAGAGAGCGAGUUCAACCUUUUGGGGAAGAUAGGGGGCGACUCUGGCCUCUCGUUGCGUGGAAAGCAGUUUGCCCAGGCUCUAAGGAAGUUUCUGGAAGAACAGGAGAUAGCAGACCUAAAAGUAUGGACGAGUCAGCUGAAGAGGACCAUCCAGACUGCGGAGUCUCUUGGAGUGACCUACGAGCAGUGGAAGAUUCUGAAUGAGAUCGAUGCUGGCAUGUGUGAGGAGAUGACGUAUGCAGAGAUCGAGAAGCAGCACCCAGAGGAGUUCGCACUCCGAGACCAGGACAAGUAUCUGUACCGCUACCCUGGCGGGGAGUCAUACCAGGACCUGGUGCAGCGCCUGGAGCCUGUCAUCAUGGAGCUGGAGCGGCAGGGCAAUGUCCUCGUCAUCUCCCACCAAGCUGUUAUGCGCUGCCUCCUGGCCUACUUCCUGGAUAAGGGUGCAGAUGAGCUACCGUACUUGAGGUGCCCUCUUCACACCAUCUUCAAACUUACUCCCGUGGCCUAUGGGUGCAAAGUAGAAACGAUUAACCUCAACGUGGAAGCUGUGAACACACACCGUGACAAGCCCACCAACAACUUCCCCAAGAACCAAACCCCUGUAAGGAUGAGAAGGAACAGCUUUACGCCUCUGUCCAGUUCGAAUACAAUAAGGCGUCCAAGAAAUUACAGUGUUGGGAGCCGGCCCCUCCAGCCCCUCAGCCCUCUCCGUGCCCUGGACAUGCAAGAUGGGGCCGACCAGCCGAAGACCCAAGUCAGCAUCCCAGUGGUGUAACCGUGUGUGUCCCUCCAGUCCCGGCCUCCUGUCCUUGCCACUAAUCACCAAGGCGUCAUUUAACUUCCCCACACCCCACCCCACACCCCACGCUGACCCUGGCCCCAAGUGUGCGAUGCUGUGUGUGUAGUCUCCGGUUUGAAACAUUUCACGCAGAAGCAAGAGGGCCAGCUGGGCCUUUCUUGUAGGACAGGCACCCCGAUGGGCAGGCUGCAGGAGGAGGGAGAGACUGCAUGCUCCCACACACCUGUUCUGUGUUCCCUGCUGUCCAUACGCACGGGUGUUUGGUGAGGUAGGGAAUGGUCAUGAGUUGAGGGAUCCACAGAUGCCCGUCUGUCCUCCGCCUCUGUCUGAUGUGCUCCAUGCACUCGCCUUUCUCCCUCUUCUUGCCCAACACUGGGCGUUGCGCGUGGAAGCGGAAAUGGAGCUGCUGGGGAGAAGUCCAGGCCCCGUGGGCCCACGUGGAUCUGGACUGGGCGCGUCCUUCCCUUCCCGUCUCCCGUCCUCUCCAGCCAGGUCCUGUCGGGGUCAGCCCAGGCUGCGGGACAUCCGCGGCGUUGACGGAGGGUGAGCGUUCUGGGCUCUUGGCGUGAGAAACGGUUCCGAGUUUUCGAUAGCUUGGGGCAGCUGGCUCUGAGGAUGACGGGAGUGCCUUGGUUUGUGUCCAGUGUGGAGGGCUCCUUGGCAGGCAGUGAAGCAGGUGGUUUCCGGCCUUUGCAGGGCUCUCCACUCAGAAUCGGGUCUUUUACCCACAGUUUGGUCCUUCGCCAGUCACUUCAGGCAGGUUUCCUGCCAAAGCCUGUGACCUCAGGGCCUGUUUAGAAGGAUGGAAUUGGGUUUAAGAGCCACCUGCAAUCCCUGAAUACCUCAAGGCAAAGGGUAGAGCAAAGUUCACUAACUCUGCUCAUUCUUUCCCAGUGCUUUUCAGCGUGCUCUUCUAAAGUUCAUUUUUUGGACAUGAGCAAGUGUUUUCUCUCCAAACAUGGCAAACUUUGAUGAAUUUCAUCUCUGUUGUUGGUUGUUCUUUGUGGAUAAGGAGAAACGGUCUCAUCGCCGUGUCCUAAGGGGCGCCUUGGCGUCUAGCUCUUGACUUCACAUCUUUCCCCUCCUUUUCUGUGUAGGGUUAUAGAGGACUUGCGUAAAGGAGGACUUUUUAGCCCCUUGGUGGCUUCCCCUUUCUCCAUUUUGUGUACGAAAUUUAUGAACUAGCAUGCCAAGUUCUCAUGAGAUUUUAGAUGAGAUGCGUGAGUCCCUACUUAUCUACUAGUCUUCUAGAGGCGACUAGUGAAAGCAGUUAGCUGUUUUCCAAAGAGCUUUUGUUUUGCUAUAGAAAACCUUUCAUCAUGGUUCUCAGGAGCAUCCCUGGAAUCCCCUGUAGAUCUCCUGGAUCCACAUAUGCGCUGUGCCCGGCUCCGAGUCUGGACGUGAGUGUGCUGAAAUAGCUUCUCUAGCGAUCCUGAUGCACACUGCAGGUUAACUCCACCUUGGGAAGCGGGGCAGGCAAGCGCAGCGUAGUGCUUUCUUGGGCAAAACGUGCACCCUGGAGUUCCAAAUUCCUGGUUUUGAAACAAGUUCUCUGGAGUCAGAGGCUGGAGCACAUCCCGAUAUCAAAGGAGGUGAAUGUUUCAGAGCUAAUGGACGAGAAAGAGGACUUUGACCCAGAGAUACUGGAUUUAGGCUGCACCUUCUCUGAGCAACACCGGACUUCUCUGACCCAGCAGCACCGAGUUAGCCUGUCACAAACGCCACCACCCAAGACCCGUCUCCCUAUGCUCUCUCUGGCUCUGCUGCCUAUUUUUCCUGUCUUCCCUGCGUUCAUUUGCUUCCUUCAGAAGAGGAACUGGAAGAUUUUCUUACCUGCUGGACAGGAGAAAUUGGAAUUUGAGAACACCAGAAGUUUCCACUUCCUUCAGUUUUUAGAGCAAGAUCCCUUCAGAGAAGUUUAGUUGGAAGAGGCCAGGAGAAUGUAGAGUAGAAUAGAGCCCUUUCUCAAGAUUUUAGAGAAGUUCUGUUUCCUGUCUUUUAUUUUCUGCCCUUCUGUCCCCUCGUUACGUGAAUGUGUUUUAGUAGUGGACACUCAUUACUCAGCUGCGCCUGCAUCACAAAUCCUAAAAGAAGGGUUGUGAUGUCCUCCUGAGUACCCUUUGCAGAAGCUGUGAUUUUUGUCAUGGGGAAAUGGGUGAGAACUACUGAUAUAAAAUGGAGAAAAGAAAA